CAGUCAGCUCAGUCGGUAGCAGCACAGCAGCAGUCAGUACGAGUUCAGCGAGCAACCUGUGCGGACGGGAAAAUUUUACGGUUCGAACCUACGGAGCUAAGUAGGCAGUGAGUGGUGUGAUAUUCUGACAGCGAUAUCAAAUAAAAACAGUUCCCCAACUGAGUCAAGUGGACGUUGAAGAUGCACAUCGGCUAAUCGAAGGAGAAGCAGGCGGCAUCACCCAGAACGAGACAAUCAGAAUAAACAGGGGCGGGCAGUGCGGUUGUUGUGUGUCCAAGUGCAAUUAUCGUGUUUCUCUCGAAGAAAAAUUCGGCCUGGCCGACAUAGACAAGAAGAAAAUACGUUCAGUGCCCUAGAUCGUGAAAGUGCAAACGAAAAAAGAAAAAAAAAAACAAAAUUAAGUAAGAUGCGACGAUUUCAAGUGCAUGCAAGCUUUGCCGUAGCGAUGCUUACUGUGCUCGCGCUAACCGGUGGUCCUUCCGGUGGACACGCUUCGGCCAUCGAAGGCACUCCAUACUACGGACGGUCCUACCGGGGCAACAGCAACGGCGACAACCGGAUGAUUUUCCCCAACGAAAAGGAACGCUACAAUCUCUUGAACAAAGAUGUCAAACGCGAGGCGGACGAUUUCGACGGUUGCUGCGGCGAUGAUAUACCAUUGGAACUUGCCCUGCAGCUGGGCAACAUCAGCUCCAGUGACGACGUUUUUAACCUGGUCGAGCCGGACUCCAUCGAUUCCCGCAUCUUCUCCAAGGAGGGAUUUGGAGAACGAUCAGCCGGAGAGGUACCGAAGCCAGCCGGGUGCAACACCCAACCGACGAUCGUUAGUCUACGACCGGAGAACAACAGCGAUCCGCGACUGAUCUACAGCCCAACGUGCACACGGGUACAGCGCUGCAGUGGCUGCUGCGUUUCGAAGCGACUCUCGUGCCAGCCCACAUCGACCCGCACCAGGACAUUUACCGUGAACGUUCUUGAGUACGUCAGCGGUGUAAAGACCCGCUUUAAAAGCCGCGAUCUGGCAUUGAUCGAGGAGCACGUGGGCUGUGCCUGUCAGUGUCGCGUUAAGGAAGAACACUGCAACAGCUUGCAGCGGUAUAAUGCUCGUAACUGUCGGUGUGAUUGCGUGAACAACGAUGACCGAUCGAAGUGCCUACAGCAGCAGGACAUCAAGCAGUGGAACCCAGACACGUGCCUGUGCGAAUGCAACGACCCCAAGGAGUGCACAAGUGGCUCUUACUUCGACCACAACUACUGCAAGUGCCUGCAGACCGACUUUUACAGCAUACAUUAACAUCAUUCGAUGCACGACAAAAAGUAAAUGAAUCAAUCAAUUGCACAAUUUCAAAAUUUUAUCUCUCAUCCCAUCAUCGAUAACAAAAGCCACGCGACAAAAUCAACAAACAAACAGUUUGUUUUACGACUUUUUGAACGAUCAAAAUUAUCAACCAAAUUUUUCAACGGGCAACAACAGUAGAAAAGAGAAGAAGAAGAUUAUCUGAAAUUAUCACAAGAAUUAAAAGCAAACAUUGUAUCUAUCAUUGAUAGAGAAUAGUUUACAAAUAUAACCAUUGCAGUAGCCGAUAAGAUAGAUGGAUGUGCCAAACCCGAACGAACAAGCGAAUACCCACAUAUAAUCCUUGGUAAACGUUUAGACUGGAAUACCUGUAGCCUUAGUAGAUGUUAGACCUCCACAUAACUGGCGGUUUUACUUAGCGUGUCGUUGUGUAUGUGCGUGUUUCUUCCCUCAAUUCGCGGUCUUCCGCCCGCCCGGUGAUUUCCUACUGCAGCUACUCUGCCAGCCGCUACCGCAAUCAGUCGACGCUCGAUCGCAGACGGUUGAUUCUGCGACCGGUACCGGCUGCUAUUUCCGUUGAAUCGAUCCCAUCCGCCUGAGACCGCAC